CAAUAUUGACACAUCGAGAUAUGUUAGAUGCAUACCCAUCUGAAAAUUUUAUCCCUUUAAGAAACUUACAGAAAUUUUUCUUUUCAGUGUUCGAUAUUGUGUAGCAUGCAGGAUGAAUUAUGUAGGAUCCAUCAUUUCUCUUCAUCAAGUGCAAUUUUCUUCGGAUUUUCAUGUCUUCUAAGUCGAAUCUAGCCUUGAUAGUAUCCUUUAUUUUACCUUCAAGAUUUAACAAAGUACCA
rnacentral:lncRNA from 1 species